ensembl:lncRNA
AUCACCGUAACCAAGUCCAGUGUGUUCCCUCUAUCUUUCUGUGCCCAUCGUUGGGUAGAAAACCUUCCGGUUGUGGAGAGAGCCCUGGCAGUCUGGCCAUCAUUUCUCCUGUACAUGGAAGCUGUGAAAACAAAGAGACUCCCGAACCCUGGAACAGCAUCAUAUGACACAGUUGCAGCAGCCAUAAAGGAUCCACUCGUCUUGGCCAAAUUGCAGUUCUACGCAGCAAUUGCCAGGACCUUCAAUCCCUUCCUGAAAAAAUAUCAGACGGAUGAGCCUGUGCUCCCAUUCCUCCCCAAAGGACCUGACCGAGUUGAUGAUGUCUACUCAGACGCUUCAUAAAGAGAGAAGUACUACGAUAUCACUGCCCUGCAGCUGACCAAACUGGAUGUCACAGACAAGACCAUCUGGCUCAGCCCACAAGACAUCAGCAUUGGUCUAGGUGCAGAGUCAGUCCUUAAGAGAAUCAAAGGUGCAGAGCUCAGGGUGCUCGAGUUCAAGAGAGAGUGCAUGCAGGGACUGAGUAACAUGAUCAAGAAAGUGCAGGACCAGAGCCCCCUCAAGUAUCUGACUGUUAGGCAGAUGGUGUGCCUGAAUCCGUCAGUAAUGUAUAGAGAACCAGAAAGAGGCAGGAAUCACAUGAAAGGGCUGGUUCAAAGGUUUCUCCAGGACAAACAGCUUACUGAUACUUCUUCAGGGGAUGUCAUACUGCAGCAGUUUGACAGUCUCCUUUCCUUGGAGAGCCGGAGUGAGGACUUCCUCUCCUUUCAAACCAUGCAGACGAGGCUGGACAUCUUCCUGAGCAGCGCCAUGGAGCCUUAUCCCGAGCUGUGGGCCUUCUGCAAGAAGCUGCUCAUCCUCAUCCACGGUCAAGCUACAGUUGAGCGUGGAUUCUCAAUCAAUAAAGAGGUGGAGUCUGAUAACUUGGCGGAGGAUACUGUGGUCACACGGAGACUGGUGUGUGACUACAUCAUACAACAUGGAGGUGUUACCAAGGUUCCACUCAUUAAACCGCUACUGGAAAGUGUAACAAGGGCAAGGACAAGGUAUCGUACCCAUCUGGAGACCAAAAGAAGGAACAGGGAGGCAAAAGACCAGGCUCUCAAGAGGAGGGAAGCAGAGGACUGUCUUGAGGAGCUGAAGGUUAAGAGGAGACGUGUACAGGAGGUAUCUGAGGGUCUGGCUAGGAAUGCGGACAAGAUGGCUGAGGAGGCUGAAGCGAAGGCAGGGAGCAAGAUGGCCGGCCUGAUCACCAGGUCAAACAUUCUGCGGAGAGGCCAUCAGGAGCAGUUGGCAGAACUGGCUCUCCUUGAUAAAGAGAUCGCUGCUAAGAGUGCAGAGCUUAGGAGUUGACUGUGCGAUCAUAAUUUUAUUUAUUGUUGAGUUGAUUUUCAUUGUUUAUUGUUCAGGAGUCUGUGCUGUUGGCGUAAGUACUCACCACUAUGCUGCAAUGUUCCAUCAUUCCAUAAUGCUUUACAGUCCACAUUUUCACAUUUGUUGAAAUAAAUGAACAAAUUUUGAACAAACGUUGUCGGUAGGUCUGUGAAAUAGGCCGUGAAAUAGGUAUUCAUUUUUAUAUAAGUGGUCUUAAAAGGGACUUAAAAAGACUUGAAUUUGACUUGAACAAACCUGUAGGAACCCUGUAAUAAAAUAACCUCAAACAGCUAA